CUUCUCUUACGUACUAUCUUCAUAUUCUAUAACCUGUAGGUUUUCAGGUUGUUAGAAAUGCACCACGUGGGGCACCUGGGUGGCUCAGUAGGGUGGCCACAUUGUUAGUAAUGGACCAUGAAAAACAUCUGAACGAUGGUGAAAUGUCUGUUACUACCAGGAUCCUCUUGAGUUCAAGGAUAACUGCACCAAGGAUUUUUCCAUUAUUCUAAGCAAUGUUAAACCACUACACUCCAAUUUGCAUCCUAUUCUCAAAGAAAAUACCUGUACCUCCUCCAUGUUUACUUAUAUGAAGAGAAAGAACCACAGUCUUCAUCUUGUCUUCUAAAAGCAUUCACCUUGGCAGCCCCGGUGGCGCAGCGGUUUGGCGUCGCCUGCAGCCUGGGGUGUGAUCCUGGAGACCCGGGAUCAAGUCCCACAUUGGGCUCCCAGCGUGGAGCCUGCUUCUCC